GUAUGUUACAUUUCAAUAAAUAAUAGUUUAAUUUAUAAAAUCUAGAUAUACAUAUAUAAAGACAAAAGAUGGUAGUAUAGCUAUGAUGUGUAUAAAUACAGCUGAUGUGUUCUAGGCCACAUAUUAAUCUAGGAAGCACUUAACUGUGGCAGAAAGACUCGGGAGAUUUAAAAGAAAGUCCUUAUAAUCCUUACCUCCUGGUAUUUACAUAGCAUGUCAUUUCUUCUAUUUGAAUAUUUCUUCUAUUAGAAUAUCCUAUUCUAACCAAUAGGAUCCUGCAAAGGUGAUGGGAUGCCUUUUUCAUGAAAAUGUUGGCAUAAUAUUAUGUGCACUUUUAAAAAUAGCCUCAAAAGACAGGCUAGGGCUGUAGCUCACUGGCAGAGCACUUGCCUCACAUGUGUGAGGCACUGGGUUCAAGCCUUAGUACCACAUAAAAAUAAACACAUCAAGGUAUUCUGUCCAUCUACAACUACAAUUUUUUUUAAAUGUACAGGGCAUUAAUUUAUAGAAAUUCAUAGACAAAUUCAACUAAGUUCAAAAGUUCCUUUCAAUUACUGAGAAACCAUAUACAGAAGUCAACAGUAUAGCUCAGUGGUAGAAUGUUUGCUGUAUAUAUGGCUCAGUGGUUAAGCAUCUGUGGGUUCAAUCCCUAGCACCAAAAAUAAAUAAAUAAACAAAAACUGUAAAAUGUUACACCUAAUGAAUGACCCUACAAAAGUUGCAGGACAUUAAACCAUCUGAAAAGGAAGUUAAGAAAACAUAUUUACAAUAGCAUCAAAAGAUACUUAGGAUUUAACCAAGGAGAUGAAAGACUUGUAUACUGAAAAUUACAAAUGAAAGAAACUGAAAGAAAGAAAACAUCCCCAAAAGAAAUGAUAUUGGAUGUUCAUGGAUUGGAAAACUUUAUAUUCAUAAGAUCUUCAUUCUACCCAAUGUUUUCUACAGAUUUAGUGUAAUUCCUGUCAAAAUCUCAGUUUUAUUUUGGUAAAAAUAGAAAGAUCUAUCCUAGGCCCGGGGUGUAGCUUGGAGUUGUAUCACUUUCCUAGCAUGUAUAAGGCCCCAGGUUUUAUCACUAGCACUGUAAACAAACAAAGAAACAAAUUCAUCCAUCAAUCCAUUCAUCUAUCCUAAAUUUCACCUGGAAUCUAAGGGACUCCAAAUAGUAAAACAAUUUUGAGAAAAAAUAGAUGGCGUUAGCAUACUCCCCAAAUUGAAACAUACUGAAAAGCCUUAAGAAACUAGAAAAAAGGGGCUGGGGAUGUGGCUCAAGCGUUAACGCCUGGCAUGCUCGGGGCACUGGGUUCGAUCCUCAGCAUCACAUAAAAAUAAAAUAAAGAUGUUGUGUCCACCGAAAACUGAAAAAUAAAAUAUUAAAAAAAAAAAGAAACUAGAAAAAAGCCUAGUGUGUGAUACACACUUGUAAUCCUCAGGAGGCUGAAGGAAAAAGAUGGUAUUGGGCAACUUAGCAAGACCCUGUUUUGAAAUAAAUAAGGUUGGUGCCAGUGGUGUAGCUUAGUGGUAAAGUACCCCCUGUUUCAAUCUGUAAUACUGGGGAAAGGAAAAAAAAAUAGAGAAAAAGCAAGCACAAAGAAGGAUAUAAUAAAGAGAAAAAACAUAAUCAAUGAAAAUGAAUGUUGACUCUUUGAAAUCAUCAGUAAAAUUGACAAAAUUUUAAGCUAAGUGUCCAAGAAAGAUGACUUACUAAGAUCAAGAGAUAUUGCUAUCCACUGUACAGAAUUAAAAACUAUUAUGUGAGGAUCAUAUGAACAAUCCUACGCCAACCAAUUAGGUAAGCUAGGUAAAGAGAAAUAAUCCCAAGAAAGACACAACGUACCAAAGCUAGUUUAAACAGAAAAGAUAAACAAAUUUUUAAUAUAGCUGUAAUGAGGAAAAUAAUUGAGUCAGUAAUCAAAAACCUUCCAAUGAAAGAAAGCCCAGAAGGGAAUGAGUUCAACUAUGAAUUCUACUGAAUGUUUACAGAAUGAUUAAUAAUAGUCCCUAAAAUAGCCAAAUUAUGGAUUCAAACUAGGUGCCCAUCAACAGACAAAUGGAUAAAGAAAAUGUGGUAUAUAAACAUUACUUGGUCAUAAAGAUGAAUGGAAUUUUGGUAUUUGUUGGUAAAUGGAGGAAACUGGAGAACAUCAUGCUGAGUGAAAUAAACCAGACCCAGAAAGUCAAGGGUCAGAUGUUCUUUCUCAUAUGUGGAAGCUAGAGUGAAAAAAGAAAUUAAAAAGGAGAUGGAUCUUGGGCUGGGGAUAUAACUCAGUUCGUAGAGUUCCUGCCUCACAUGCAUAAGGCCCUGGGUUCAAUCCCCAGUACCUAAAAAAAAAAAAAAAAAAAGGAUCUUAGGAAAACAGAAGGGAGAUCAUUAGAUCAAAAGCAGGACCAAAUUGGGUUGUGCAUGAAUUGAAGAAUGAAGUUGAACAAAUUAUACUAGGUGUCUGUAUGAAUAUAUCAUAAUAUAUUUAAACUUUAUAUGUAACUAACACACCAAAUAAAAAUUAUUUAAUUAAUUAGGAAGAACAACCAAGUAGAGCAAGGGCAUCAGGAAGAGGGAGGAGGAGAGGAAAAGAAGUAGUACUGGGGGUUGAAAUGAAGAAGAAUACAUGCAUUUAUGAAUGUGUCAAAAUGAUCCUCACUAUUAUGUACAAGUGUAAUGCACUAAUAAAAGGAAAAAAACAUAAACAAAACAGCCAGGAAUGGUGUCUCAUGCCUGUAAUCCCAGUGUAUUGGGAGGCUGAGGCAGGAGGAUUGCAAGUUCAAAGACAAUCUCAGCAUUUAGAGACCCUAAGCAACUUAGUGAGACCCUGUCUCUAAAUAAAAUAAAAAAAAGUGCUGGGGAUGUGGCUCAAUGGCUGCUGGGUUCAAUCCCUGGAACCAAAGUAGGAGAAAAAAAGAGUUUGAUUUUCAUUUCCUGGCAUUCCAGGAUUCCUUUCUAUACUAAAGUACCUGCAGCUGGUAACCAGCAAGCAAUGGUACGUUUGCUCCCAGAAUGGAGUCUUAAAGGGUGGUCUCAGAUCUGAAUCAGUUAUGCUCUCAUGUUAAUGAAAAGAUUGGCAAUAUUAAAAAACCUCUGUUAUUAAGAAAAUUUGGCCAGGAACCUUCCCAGAAGAUGAUAUUAAAUAAAAUAGAAGAUGAUAUCAUUAUAGUAAAUGAAAUUCUAAAUUUGAAUAGGAAUAAUCAAGAACAAAGCAUCGAUACACUAAGGGGUUAAAGGAUCUUAUCUUGACUCUAAAGAACCAAAAUUGAGCAAUCUGCACCCAUAAAAAAAUUCCCUAAAGAACAAUGUUGAAGAAAUUCUACUGAUGAGUUCGAUGGUAUUCCUGCCUUACAUGAAAUCCCAUUUGACUAACUUAUUGUCAAAUCAAUGAUAUUAUUAAAGAAAUCAAGAUGGUAUUUACUAUGAUUACACACGAAACAAAAAACUGAAUUCUGAAAAAUUCUCAAAUUGAUUAAUGAAAAACAAGGAAUACUUAAGAUCAUUAUUUUAUAGAGGGAACGUAAAGGAAUUCACGACUUUGAAAGCUGACAAGAGGUUUCUUGUUACCUGACUAUUUUGCGACAUUGCUGAGAGCUUCUCAGAGGAUGGAGGGGGAGGACUCAUCCUUUAUGUCAUAACCUGAGUCCUUUGUCAACUUUGUAACUGAAUGACAGUAGGGUAUACCGUCCUAUAAUUUUUUUAUGUUUCUUUAGCUUUUCAUUUUCUAGUCCUUUUCAUUUUUCAUUUUUCAGUCCUGUUUUUUUUUGUAUAAAUAAAACCAUUUUUUUCAUAAACCACAUGUAUUUUCAAAAUCAUUCCCUUUAGGCAAAUAUUUAUCUAACUGCUAAAUAAGCCUCUAUACUAUGCAUAGUAUGAAACUAAAAAAUUGCUCAUGUCUACUUUUGUACUUAGUGGACAAUGCUACAGACCCCAAUCAAAUUGGUAUAGAUGUGAUGUUGGAAGAAAAAGUUCAAGAAGAUAAAGUCAAGUAUACCCAGACCCUUUGGAAUUGAACAUUACUAUCUAAAUUCCAUUCAAAGCAUUUCAGUCUGAAGAUAGACUUCCUCCAAGUGGAUUUGGAGGUGGCUUAUCUGUUUGAUUAUUGUACUUUCCCAUAUGUCCAUAGGGACCAGCUCACCUAAAAUAAAUAAAUAUAUAUUUAUCUUCUCAGGUCCUUGUUUGAGGCUCCUAAAACUUUUGUUAUGCCCUGAAUGCUAGUCAUGCAUCUUUUGUCUCCUGAUACAAAGCUCUCAAAUCCCCGCAAAUUUCCUGGUGAUAGGACCAUUUUUUUUGAGCUUCUAAUGAAAUGAUUCUUGGUGGACUCCUGAACAGCUUUAGAAUAGGAUUUGAUCACAAAGACAAAGGCAUGAAUAGAUGCUUCCUUCCAACUUUUAGCUGUUCUCUCACCUCCCCCACACUCCACCCUGCUCCAAGAAGUGGAGAGGAGCUGGAGAUUGAGUUAGUAAUCCAUGAUGUCAAGAUGAUGCUACCAUAAAGAUCCCUAAAUGAUGGAAUUCUGAGAGCUUUGAUGGCAAAAAACAUUGAUGUGCCAGGAAGAUGGUGUACCCCACUUGGACAAGGACAGAAGCUCCUGCGCUUGGGACCCUUCUGAAGUUUACCCUGUGUACCUCUUCAUUUGGCUGUUUAUUUCUGUAUCUGUUAUACCCUUUAUAAUAAACUAGUAAACUUACGUGAAGUGUUUUCUUCAGUCUUGUGAAUCCUAGCAGAUUACCAAACCCAUGAGAGGGUUGUGGGAACCCUCAAUUUGUUGCAACAUCAGACAAGUGUG
rnacentral:lncRNA from 1 species